rnacentral:lncRNA from 10 species
UGAGGGCAUACCAUAAAAAUGAAUUGGCAUAAUUCAGUCUUAGAGUCAAGGAGGAGCACAAUUCCUAGGUGGUGGGGUUUUGCCAUCUUCAAAAAAUGGGAAAAAAAAAUGUUGAAGAAAAUGUGGACUUGAUAUUAGAUGGGAGACCAAACAGGAGGGACCAGCAUUCUGAUCUUAGAGGUACUGCAUGCAGAUUUGAUCAGCCAUGGGGAAACAGGUCAGUUGGAAAACCCCUGAACUUCUCUGCAUCUCAGUACUGCAAUAAGAGGGGUGUUAAUUAUUGUCAGGCAUGGCAACUUUUUGAUGUCUGUAUCUUUAAAAAGAGAGGUCUUCAUACUUAAUACUGAAAACAGUUGAAAUUGCACCCAAAAAGCCCUACCAGAUAUCCUGACCACCUGCAUUUUAUUUCAAGGUAGCUUUGUAACUGUCAAAAUGUCCUUACUGUACAGAACACUUUCAUAUGUGGACCAGGACUGCGAGCCGAAUGAGCACACCCUAUACCUCAGCUAGUCCUAGAAUUGUCCUCAGAGGCAUUGAAGAGCUGACCUAGUUAUAUUCUGAACCCUAACAUUUUAAGCUACAUCAGAUCUGGAAUCUUUGGGAGUUGAGACCAUCAAGGAGCUUAGAGUAGCUUGGCCUCUGAGGACCUUCCAUGGUAGCCAUGCGUUUCCCCACAUCCAUGCCGCCACCUUGGGAGCCAACUGGAACAUUCAUUCUCUGUUAAGUAGAAGGAAUGUUCACAUUCCUUUCACUCUCACGUUCCCCCAUGAGCACUGGUAAUGUGGGUUAAGGUUAUCUUAAAACAGAAUGUCUUACGUCUCAGGAACCCCUUGGUCCUGGACAAACCAAGACUGUUGGUCACAUGAGCUUUUGUGCUCAGAGUACCAAGGUUAAGAUCUUAGGCAAUGCCUGGGACCAGUUUUUCCCAUAGAAAUAUUUAACUUAAGGACAGUGUUUUCCUUGAUGCACAAUGAUGGCUUUAGAAGGGAUCUUCUAUCUGAAAAACCCUGCCCCUCUCUGUGGCUUCCACACCUAGGCCUCUUCAUUCAUUUCCUGCUUCUGAAGGCCUCUGAGGGAUUUAAACCAACUGCAGCCUUUCUUUACAUCUCUGAACAUGGCUUAAGGUAUGUAUGUCUUUCUGUGAAGGAACAGGAGUAGUCUGAAGACUAAUAAGCUUUUUGAGAGGAUUUCUCAAAAGGAACGUGUGAAUUUUUAAACAUGGGACCCACACAGGAAAAUGGGGGAGAUGUGGUAACCACCGAUCUCUCUUGUUUAUAAAUCCAUACAGUCAAAGUGGGGGCCAACCCCAAUUAUUCCAGAAUGCCCAGUGUCAGAGUUUUCACUUCUGGUUACAGAAGGAAACCUUACCCACUAACCUUGGCAACCUUUAGAGCUGUGUGACUCCCAGCCCCCGUCUCACAGCAUCCCCUCCUUCCCCUUAACAUGACCCUCAUCCAUCUUUUUAAAAAUUAGAUAGGAGGUUAGAGUUCAGGAUGACAAUCACAUCCUGGUUUACAGGAAAUUGAGACCUCCUGAGAAAUCAUGUCAAGCUAUGCAACAGAAAAGUAACAGAUGCUUUACAAUUGGUGCCUCUGAGCACAUUGAGAAACACCAACCAAGAUUCUUUUCCUUAAUCCGUAGUUGUACAAAGGGGCAGUGAGAGGUCACACUCUGCUGGUGAGCCUGCCGCUGUGCUAAAAUUGCCUAGAAGUAAGAUGAUCACAUUCUUCGUUGUCUGUUUGGUCUCCAACUUGAAACUACUGACAAACAGGUAAAUACAUGAUGACGAUGGCUGCCACCAUGAACUUUGACAAUUUUAUUCUCUUUCCUUUAGACCAACAGCUGACUUUAUGCUCACCACCAAACAGCCCUCAAGUACUGCGAUUUGAAAAUCAAAGCAGUGUAUGGUCAGUUAUUAGAAACCUGUGAUGAGAAACUCCAGAAGCCAUUAUUAAUUCCCCAGAGACCCCAUUCACUUUAAGCAAUCUAUGAGGAAAUUAUGUUAAAUUCAAGCAUGACUGUGCAUUUUUACUUAAAUGUAAAACAUAUGCCUGUAUUAAAGAAUCCCCAAAUUCCCAUGUGUUCUUAAUGGGUGUAGUAAAAUACUAGGGUGUACUUGUCAGUCCAGAUUUGGGCUACUGGAUUUGGAGGCAGUGGUAAUGUUUAGUUAUUGCUUGGAAUUUUUUUAUAGAUUUAUGGGGUUACAAGUUAAUUUCUGUUACGUGGAUAGCUUACAGAUUUUUAAUGGGAGAGAGAAG